AAUAUCAUAAUAACUAACAAAUUAGGAGUUAAUGGUGACUCCCAUCAUCCAUACGUUGAGUUAAGGAAGAAGAGUCUGGGGUUGUCCAUUGUUUUCACAAACACCAUCAAUUUAUAUCUUAUGUUCCUCCCCAUCAUUCCUUCUGUUGUUACAUUUUUCAUUGAUCAUGACGCCUUUAUUUGAAUGUUGAGGCAUCAUCUUGAAAAACUCCUUUGGCAUCUCGCUUUUUGAUCCAUCUCUUGGCUUGUACAUUUAGUUGUAUUUCUCCACAUUUCUAUUUUCCUCCUGAACAAUACCAAUUUUAGUACUUGUAACAUUAUCGUAUGUCAACUUAAAUAUUUAUUAAACACUACUCAGCCAAUCAUAUUUCAAAAUUUCAUAUGGUUGAGGUAAUGAUUUUUGCUGAAAAGAUUUCAUCACCUAUACAAACAACAAAUAAAUUUUAUUCAAGUAUAUAAUUUGUAAUUAGAAAUUUCUUAUUAAUUACCUCAUCAAAGGAAUUAAUCUCCUCUUCCACCCUACCUCCCUUUUCCUCCAUGAUG
rnacentral:lncRNA from 1 species